rnacentral:rRNA from 1 species
CCUACGGGAGGCAGCAGUAGGGAAUAUUGCACAAUGGGAGAAACCCUGAUGCAGCGACGCCGCGUGGGGGAAGAAGGUUUUCGGAUUGUAAACCCCUUUUGGUAGGGAAGAUAAUGACGGUAUCUGACGAAUAAGCACCGGCUAACUCCGUGCCAGCAGCCGCGGUAAUACGGAGGGUGCAAGCGUUACCCGGAUUCACUGGGCGUAAAGGGAGCGUAGGCGGGAUAGCAAGUCUGAUGUGAAAGCCCGGGGCUCAACCGCGGAACUGCUUUGGAAACUGUAAAGCUGGAGUACUGGAGAGGCAAGCGGAAUUCCUAGUGUAGCGGUGAAAUGCGUAGAUAUUAGGAGGAACACCAGUGGCGAAGGCGGCUUGCUGGACAGAAACUGACGUUGAGGCUCGAAAGCGUGGGGAGCAAACAGGAUUAGAUACCCCUGUAGUC